CCCGCUCAAGUCCCAGCAAUCGGCGCUCACCCCCGCCCGCGGCUGCCGUUUCCUUCUCCCUAGCCCCUCUGCUCGCCGAGAACAUGCAGGCCGAGGCACGGCCCACCCACCCACUCCGACGCCAUAGGCUCCUCCUACGACCCGUCCCCGUCCCCUCGGCGCCGUCGCUGACGACCUCCCCUUCUACCUCUCCGACCUCGGCCCUGCCUCCCCUCCCCCUACCUCGACCUCCCACCCACCCCGCAGCACGAGAAACCUCCGCAGCCGCAGCAGUACCCCCAGCCCAACGGCGGGGCCGCGGCGUCGCCGGAGGACAUGGUCCUCCCCUUCAUCUCCCGUAUGUGUACCGGUGCCGUCUCCCUCACGCGCCGCUCCACCCCGCGCUCGUCGCCGUCGGCGAUAUCGGCCUCGGGAGGACCGUCGACGCGGGGGACGGCGAGCAGUGGCGCCGGGAAGGCCCGGCGACGCGGAGGACGGCGAGCAGUGGCGCCUCGCGGCGGCCGACCUCUCCCGGAGGCUCGCCGUGGCCACGCGCACGCGGGACGAGGCGCUGGAGGAGAUCACGCGCCUGAAGAACUCCGCCUUCCCCGUCGACGCCUUCCUCCGCCGUCUCCACCGCGCACGCCGCCGUGCGGAACCUCGCACGCGCUGUCGACGCACCUGCACAGCCCCGCCAGCCCCGGCCCGAACCUCGAGAGCUUCCUCAACCGCGCCUUCCACGCCGACUUCGAGCUGGACACCGACGCCGAGGCCAAAUUACUUUAUGAUCCGAACUGAUUUCCCCUCCAGGGACCCGUGCGUGCUCGCGUCGUCCGCCCACCCAUUUGGCCACAGCUCCAACACCGAGGGCAUGCAUCUUCAGAACACUAGGGGCGUCGGGAUCAAGAGCUCGAGCGUCGGUUGCGGCGAUGACUGGGUGUCGAUAGAGACUGGGUGCACAAGUGUUCAGAUUAAGUCAUGAAGAACAUUGUCUGCAACCAUGCCACGGAAUCAGGUGUGUGAGCAAAUAAUAGUACUACUACAACCAACCGCUUGUGCUCACAUUCAGAGAGAAUGUUUGGGACAGUUCAGCUAAUGCAGAGUUCAAGAAAACAUAUUGAGUUCUGAACAUGUGACCAUUUAGCUUGCAGAGCAUAUUUAUCCUCAAAAUUAUUAUUAAAACAUGUAAGUAGAAUGGUGAUAAGAUAUGUGUACUGUAAGUGCAAUAAUAAGUUUAGCUACACAUUUAUCCUCUGAUUUAAAAUCUGACGUUGUUUUGGUUUCACAACAUGCCAGGUAGCAUUGCAGUCUGAAUUCUGCUUUUUUUUUUUGGGAACGUAUAUGAGCUCACAGUCUCACACUGAUAUCAUUUGGUUACUGCAGGGAGCAUGUGGGGAAAUUAUUUGAGUUAGGGUAACCUCUAACAUGAUCAGGGAAAAUUGUAGCAAAUCUCUCACUCUAUUAUUUUAGGUGGUACCUGAGCAUCUCAUGUCUUCUAGCCAUUUUGUAUGAUGUCGUGUCUUUUGACUUGCUUCCAUGCUAAGGUUAAAUUUGCCUGUUAACCCAUCUGUGAAAUGUUGACGAACAUAUCCAGCGGUUGAUCAUCAUAUAGGAGUCGGUGAGCCAGUUAAGAUUGUUGAUACAUAGGUAAUGUGCACAAAUAUUACUGAAAGAUCUCAAUUGCAUUAAGCUUUUUGCAAAGGCUGACGAUUCUUGCUACAAAAAUAUUGGUGGGUUCAAAGGGCAAGUGUAUUUCACUGAGUACAAUGUCACUAUGUUAAAUACCUACUGUAUUAUUUUGUUUCAGACUAUCUUAAGAUUUGGUGGCCUCAAAACUGUGAGCUUUUUCUCCAUUCCAUACCUUUAUCCCUUGUUUCUUCAUAGAAUAGUGAAAAGAGAGUCCUCUUGGGUAGGGGUGAAUGGUGAAAAUAAUUAGUGGGUGCUGAAAUCUUGUAGCCUUGUACUAUGUUGGCUACAAUAUAAUAAUUUAUCAAGCUACCGAAGUUAGAGUUUUUUGUUCCUUUUCUGCAAUUAGUGAUUUUUGAGCUGACCACACUCAUGGCUAUUUUGCUAUGGAUUUACAAAUUCUAUCUAAGAACAGAUGACCGAUUGUUAGCCGUUUUAUCUUCAUUAAAUUUGGAGAAGUUUUAACAACACUAGCUUAUGUACCUUCCUGCUUAUGAACGCACUUGCUGAUGGUUAUAACCGAGAAUGGUUUAUGUACGUGAACAAACUCAUGCUGUUUGCGAUAUCAUCCUGGAUGGUUUUUGAAAAAGGAUUUAGAGAAAUGACAUAACAUUUCUUCAGGACAGAAGGAUAGAGCACACGCCAAGUUGAAGAGCCAUUGUCAACUCCACACUGUUCCUUUGGCUUGUGCUGCCUGGAACAAUAUGCUGUUUUUUUUGCAAGAGUUUCUUUUUUUACGUGCCUUUUAUUGAUGUGUAGAUACACCAAGAAAGGAGUUACUGUCAAUUGGUGUGAUGAGCCACACAUAUCCUUUGCUUCUAGAUUAGAAUUCAUCUGAAUAAGACCAUCGUUGGCUACAGGCUAUAGAAAUGUCUUCUGUUUGUCUCGUAGAGAAUGAAUAAAUAAUUCGGAGGAUCAUGUAGAUAAAGGCACAAACAAGCAAGUUCUGAUGCGGAUGAGAUACAGUAUUGUGAACAAACAUUUGGAUAUCCCAGG